CAGAACACGAAACAGGUUUAAUGAAAUGUAGGAAAAAAGCUCAGGAUUUAAUUCAGAAACUGUGACCAUAAAAGUUAACAAAUCAAUCUUGUUAAUUAGCUUUUUAUUUGCAAAUGACAUGGGCACCUUAGCGAGAUUUACACAGCCCGUUUUGGUCUUUGCUAUGAUCGUAAAAUAGAGAGGACGAUUGAGUUUGCCAGUUUCAAACAGAGUUUACCGACUUCCAUGCCAUUUCACCAACGAGAAUUCACUUGACCGGUCGUCUAUAUCUUUGUACACAGCAUAAACAUAUUGAAAGACGUAAAAUGUUAAAGAUUCAAAAUAAUUAAAGACCGAAGGUUCAAAUCUGAUAUACACGCAUAGGUUAGAUUAAAUUUUCUGUAAUUGAUAAUCCGAUUAAUUAUGCAUUUGGACUUUGAGCGCAAUACCAGUUCGCCAAUUCAAAUAAGGGUGGCAAGUCGUCCGGAAUGCAAUAUGCAAAGCGCUGCUUGCGUACAAACGAGGCUCUGAUCCUAAAUAUGAGAAAGAUAUAAUUUUUAAGACAGAAAAUAUUAAAAAAUCAUAAAGCAAAAAAAAAUGUAAUUUAUGUCCAAAUGUAAAUUAUCAUUCUUUUUUAUAUAUCACCAUUGUUAAAUCAUUACCUUUUGCCACACCUUCUUUAAGUAUGCUCUAUUCUGCUUUAUAUAUAUACUCUAUUCUCCUCUAAAUAAGAAUUGUAGAAAGAAAAAAUAUAUUUUCCUAACAUGAACACUCUUGUACAGAAUAUAAAGGUAAGGCAGAUUUUAAAAAGUUCACAUGCAGAAGGCUUAUAUCGGUUGAAUUAUAACACUAUAAUGUCACCAGUGGAUAUAUAAUAUAUAAGAGCUACAGAUAUGCAGCUUAUAAAAAAUGUACAUGUUAGAACAGAUCGUUUAUGGUUUACCAUGGUUUACAAUCAGAGGAUGAAUUCAUACAUGUUAAAGAAGCAGCCGGAAAAACGAAUUUUAGUAGCAACUCGAUAAAUGUUUAAAUUCUAUUUAAAUAUUUGCAAUAAAACUAAUAUUUCAUAUUUUUAUUAUGGCAUAUAGUAAUAAUUUUUGAUAAAAUACAUUUAAUCUCACUUAAUUUAAUGUUUUCUGUAUUCUUAAGAAGUUCGUAACGAACUUUACUAUUUUUACUUCCCAUUAAAUAUACUCGUAAAACGACAUACAUACGAACGAAAUAUUUAUUAUGAUAUUUGCUUAAUUAUGCUUUCUGACAGACUUUGGGGAAAGGAUAGAAAGAAAUUCAGUUGUUCAUUCAGUUUAAUUACAAGACAUUAUUCGAUUCUUCGCAUAAAGUUUCUAGAAUGAACUUUAAUUCAUUGUAGUACUCGACUCCGGUAAUACUAAUGUUCUUAUCUCGUAAUAUUGCAUAACGUGUAAUGUGAUUCAUUGGUUUCGUGUUGCACCAGUUCAGGGAUGUAAAUUGUGUAUCUAUGUGCCCCGAAUAGAAAGUUAAACAGUUGCUAUUUAGCUAUUAUCAUAUUAGAAAAAUGUGGCAGAUGUUGAUGCAAUUUCAAGAAUAUCUGAAAUUCCGAAAUUCUAACUUUAAUACAGGAAGCCGGGGUGAAUUAGUAGUAUGCUUCCUGAUUUGCACAUGGCGCGCAUGCGCACUACGCUAGUUGCACACGCCGCUGAUAUACGUUACUAUAAGAACGCUCAUAGUAGGAGAUGAUCGAUAAAUUCAAACAGGUACGCCGAAAGUGUCGGAACUAAGUUCAUAUUCAGCUUGCAAGUAAAUCGAACCAAGUAACUCCUUACAAACUACAAAAUGCCAGGACCAACUUGCGAAAAGGGCUCAGACAAAUCUCAACAAUGUCAAUGUGGCGAGAAAUGCAAAUGCGGCGAUUCCUCGAGCGCAGCCACAUGCACUUGCAAAUCUGGUGACCAGUGUAGUUGUAAUAAAAAAUAAAAAGAAGAAAGUAUUAAAGGUUAUUUCUUACUUCUACUAUAUUUUACAAAUGUAUACGUAUAUUUAUGAAAUUAUGCCUAUUAUAAAACUGUUACCUCUAUUAUGUUAAAUAUAAUAAAGAUUUAACAAAAUA